rnacentral:rRNA from 1 species
GUAGGUGGGCAAGCGUUGUCCGGAAUUAUUGGGCGUAAAGCGCGCGCAGGGCGGUUCUUUAAGUCUGAUGUGAAAGCCCACGGCUCAACCGUGGAGGGUCAUUGGAAACUGGAGAACUUGAGUACAGAAGAGGAAAGCGGAAUUCCACGUGUAGCGGUGAAAUGCGUAGAGAUGUGGAGGAACACCAGUGGCGAAGGCGGCUUUCUGGUCUGUAACUGACGCUGAGGCGCGAAAGCGUGGGGAGCAAACAGGAUUAGAUACCCUGGUAGUCCACGCCGUAAACGAUGAGUGCUAAGUGUUAGGGGGUUUCCGCCCCUUAGUGCUGCAGCUAACGCAUUAAGCACUCCGCCUGGGGGGUACGGCCGCAAGGCUG